UUGAAGAGUAGUCGGUGGGACCAGCUUGUGAGAUAGAGAAUUGUGAGAUAGAAAUAUUAGUGGAAAAGAGAAAAUACCAAAAAGGGUUUUGUGUUUAUUUGUUUCAUCUCUCGUUUCUCUCUCCGUGAAAGUUGCAUCUCCGCCAACUUAAGAAAACACCAGAAAAUUGAUGGGUGUUUAUGCGAAAUUGAGAGAAGGGAAAGUUUACUA
rnacentral:lncRNA from 1 species